UGGGGGCUGGGGGCUGCUCGUCAAUCCUGAAAGACACUAUGAUGGAGUCACUCUGCUGGCCAGGUCCCUGGUCAUCAACAACUGUUGGCACAACCGCCCGCUCUUCAGCUCCAUCAUCAGGUUCCUCCAGGACCCAGACUGCAAGAAUCACUUGACAGCCCUUGUGCUCCUGACAGAGCUGCUCCAGUGCCCGGAUGUGGCAGCCGUAGUGGAUGACAUCAGCACCCGCAUUCUGGCAAACUGGUUCAGGAGUGAGGAGCCAGCCACAGUGAAGCUGUUGCUGCAGAUGCUGGAGGUCUUCGCGAAGCAUGGAAACAUGGUGAAAUGGGGCAGGGGCCGAGGGUGUGCUCUCAGGAGACCUUGUCACCAGGGCAAGGAACAUCUGGUGUGUCCAGUUAUAGAUAGGGUGGGACACACUCUUGAGAUCAAAGAGAGAAAAUUCUCCUGAGGCCAGUGCACCACAGACAGAAGUUGGGGCUGGGCCAGUCACGAUUUCUCCCUCCCAGGAAAGGUCUCCUGAGGAAGUUUUCCCAUGGACCAUUUCAGAGAAACAGGCCAAGCUAACCCCAGGAUCUCACAUGUUGUCAUCAGGGAUGAGAAAGGCAGCAGAGAUGGAAACUUACGGUGUAGUGGGAGGAGGGGGCCUCCUCUGUCUUCUCCCCUUUUCU
rnacentral:lncRNA from 1 species